AUUGAACGCUGGCGGCAGGCCUAACACAUGCAAGUCGAGCGGCAGCGGGAAAGUAGCUUGCUACUUUUGCCGGCGAGCGGCGGACGGGUGAGUAAUGCCUGGGAAAUUGCCCAGUCGAGGGGGAUAGCAGUUGGAAACGACUGCUAAUACCGCAUACGCCCUACGGGGGAAAGCAGGGGACCUUCGGGCCUUGCGCGAUUGGAUAUGCCCGGGUGGGAUUAGCUAGUUGGUGAGGUAAUGGCUCACCAAGGCGACGAUCCCUAGCUGGUCUGAGAGGAUGAUCAGCCACACUGGAACUGAGACACGGUCCAGACUCCUACGGGAGGCAGCAGUGGGGAAUAUUGCACAAUGGGGGAAACCCUGAUGCAGCCAUGCCGCGUGUGUGAAGAAGGCCUUCGGGUUGUAAAGCACUUUCAGCGAGGAGGAAAGGUCAGUAGCUAAUAUCUGCUGGCUGUGACGUUACUCGCAGAAGAAGCACCGGCUAACUCCGUGCCAGCCGCCGCAGUAACAC
rnacentral:rRNA from 1 species